ACUCAAAGGAAUUGACGGGGGCCCGCACAAGCGGUGGAGCAUGUGGUUCAAUUCGACGCAACGCGAAGAACCUUACCGGGGUUUGAACUGCACGGGACAGCCGUAGAGAUACGGUCUUCCUUCGGGACCCGUGUAGAGGUGCUGCAUGGCUGUCGUCAGCUCGUGUCGUGAGAUGUUGGGUUAAGUCCCGCAACGAGCGCAACCCUUGCCUCCUGUUGCUAACAGGUAAAGCUGAGCACUCUGGAGAGACUGCCGGUGAUAAACCGGAGGAAGGUGGGGAUGACGUCAAGUCCUCAUGGCCUUUAUGCCCCGGGCUACACACGUGCUACAAUGGCUGGUACAAAGGGUCGCAAAACCGCGAGGUGGAGCUAAUCCCAAAAAGCCAGUCCCAGUUCGGAUUGCAGUCUGCAACUCGACUGCAUGAAGUUGGAAUCGCUAGUAAUCGCGGAUCAGCACGCCGCGGUGAAUACGUUCCCGGGCCUUGUACACACCGCCCGUCACAUCACGAAAGCCGGCUGUACUAGAAGCCGCCGCGCCGACCCGCAAGGGGGGCAAGCGUCCACGGUAUGGUCGGUGAUUGGGGUGAAGUCGUAACAAGGU
rnacentral:rRNA from 1 species